AGCGACGCCGCGUGAAGGAUGAAUGCCUUCGGGUUGUAAACUUCUUUUAUAGGGGACCAAAGCUGAGUGUACCCUAUGAAUAAGCGCCCGCUAACUAUGUGCCAGAAGCGUCGGUGAUACAUAGGGCGCAACGUUAUCCGGAAUUACUGGGCGUAAAGUGAUGCGUAGGCUUUUAGGAAAGUUAUUUGUUAAAUAUCUCUGCUUAACGGAGAAAAAGCAAGUAAUACUACCUGAAUAGAGACAGGAAGGGGAAAGGGGAAUUCCUGGUGGAGUAGUGAAAUACGUUGAUAUCAGGAGGAACACCAAGCGNCGAAACACNCUUUCUGGUCCUGUUCUGACGCUAAGGCUCGAAAGCGUGGGUAGCAAAACGGAUUAGAUACCCGUGUAGUCCACGCUGUAAACGAUCCUCGCUAGAUGUUUGUUUCAGAUUUCAGUUAUUUAACUUCGGUUAAGUACUAUUUCUGGAAUGGGUGUCGCAGUUAACGCGAUAAGCGAGGCGUCUGGGGAGUACGGCCGCAAGGCUAAAACUCAAAGGAAUUGACGGGGACCCGCACAAGCGGUGGAGCGUGUGGUUUAAUUCGAUGCAAAGCGAAGAAUCUUACCAAGGCUUGACAUCCUGCUGCGAAUUCUGAGAAAUCAGAACAUCCUUCGAGGGAGCAGGACAGGUGCUGCAUGGCUGUCGUCAGCUCGUGUCGUGAGAUGUUGGGUUAAGUCCCUUAACGAGCGCAACCCUUGUCCUUAGUUACAAUUUCUAGGGAGACUGCCCUGCCAAAACGGGGAGGAAGGUGGGGACGACGUCUAGUCAUCAUAGCCCUUAUGUCUUGGGCGACACACGCGCUACAAUGGGAGAUACAAUGGGUAGCCAAGUUGCGAAGCGGAGCUAAUCCCACAAAAUCUUUCUCAGUUCGGAUUGUAGGCUGA
rnacentral:rRNA from 1 species